GUGGGGAAUCUUGCGCAAUGGGCGAAAGCCUGACGCAGCCAUGCCGCGUGGAUGAUGAAGGUCUUAGGAUUGUAAAAUCCUUUCACCGGUGAAGAUAAUGACUGUAGCCGGAGAAGAAGCCCCGGCUAACUUCGUGCCAGCAGCCGCGGUAAUACGAAGGGGGCUAGCGUUGCUCGGAUUUACUGGGCGUAAAGGGCGCGUAGGCGGACAUUUAAGUCAGGGGUGAAAUCCCGGGGCUCAACCUCGGAACUGCCUUUGAUACUGGAUGUCUUGAGUGUGAGAGAGGUGUGUGGAACUCCGAGUGUAGAGGUGAAAUUCGUAGAUAUUCGGAAGAACACCAGUGGCGAAGGCGACACACUGGCUCAUUACUGACGCUGAGGCGCGAAAGCGUGGGGAGCAAACAGGAUUAGAAACCCUAGUAGUCC
rnacentral:rRNA from 1 species